rnacentral:rRNA from 1 species
AGCGAACGCUGGCGGCAUGCCUAACACAUGCAAGUCGCACGGGGGGGCUUCGGCCUCCCAGUGGCGGACGGGUGAGGAACGCGUAGGGACCUGUCGAGGGGUGGGGGAUAACCGCGGGAAACUGCGGCUCAUACCGCAUGACGCCGCGGCGUGACAGCCGGGGCCAAAGGCGAAAGCCGCCCGCCGAGGGGCCUGCGUCCGAUUAGCUGGUUGGCGGGGUAGCGGCCCACCAAGGCGUCGAUCGGUAGCUGGUCUGAGAGGGUGAUCAGCCACACCGGGACUGAGACACGGCCCGGACUACUACGGGAGGCAGCAGUGGGGAAUAUUGGACAGUGGGCGCAAGCCUGAUCCAGCAAUGCCGCGUGGGUGAAGAAGGUCUUCGGAUUGUAAAGCCCUUUCGGCGGGGACGAUGGUGACGGUACCCGCAGAAGAAGCCCCGGCUAACUUCGUG